rnacentral:rRNA from 1 species
GACGAACGCUGGCGGCGUGCUUAACACAUGCAAGUCGAACGGAAAGGCCCUGCUUGCCGGGUGCUCGAGUGGCGAACGGGUGAGUAACACGUGGGUGAUCUGCCCAUUAUUUUGGGAUAAGCCUGGGAAACUGGGUCUAAUACUGGAUAGGACCAUGCUGUAGGUGGUGUGGUGGAAAGAUUAGUUUCGGUAAGGGAUGAGCUCGCGGCCUAUCAGCUUGUUGGUGGGGUAAUGGCCUACCAAGGCGUCGACGGGUAGCCGGCCUGAGAGGGUGGACGGCCACAUUGGGACUGAGAUACGGCCCAGACUCCUACGGGAGGCAGCAGUGGGGAAUAUUGCACAAUGGGCGCAAGCCUGAUGCAGCGACGCCGCGUGGGGGAUGACGGCCUUCGGGUUGUAAACUCCUUUCAGCCAUGACGAAGCCCUUGUGGUGACGGUAGUGGUAGAAGAAGCACCGGCUAACUACGUG